GACGAACGCUGGCGGCGUGCUUAACACAUGCAAGUCGAACGGUGAAGCGCCUUCCUUUUUGGUGGGUGUGGAUGAGUGGCGAACGGGUGAGUAACACGUGAGUAACCUGCCCCCUUCUUCUGGAUAACCGCAUGAAAGUGUGGCUAAUACGGGAUAUUCUGGGUCUGCCGCAUGAUGGGUCUGGGAAAGAUAUUGUUUCGGUGGGGGAUGGGCUCGCGGCCUAUCAGCUUGUUGGUGGGGUGAUGGCCUACCAAGGCGGUGACGGGUAGCCGGCCUGAGAGGGUGGACGGUCACACUGGGACUGAGACACGGCCCAGACUCCUACGGGAGGCAGCAGUGGGGAAUAUUGCACAAUGGGCGCAAGCCUGAUGCAGCGACGCCGCGUGAGGGAUGGAGGCCUUCGGGUUGUGAACCUCUUUCGCCAGUGAAGCAGGCCUGCCUCGUUUGUGGGUGGGUUGACGGUAGCUGGAGAAGAAGCGCCGGCUAACUACGUG
rnacentral:rRNA from 1 species